GACGAACGCUGGCGGCGUGCCUAAUACAUGCAAGUCGAGCGAGCUUGCCUAGAUGAAUUUGGUGCUUGCACCAAAUGAAACUAGAUACAAGCGAGCGGCGGACGGGUGAGUAACACGUGGGUAACCUGCCCAAGAGACUGGGAUAACACCUGGAAACAGAUGCUAAUACCGGAUAACAACACUAGACGCAUGUCUAGAGUUUAAAAGAUGGUUCUGCUAUCACUCUUGGAUGGACCUGCGGUGCAUUAGCUAGUUGGUAAGGUAACGGCUUACCAAGGCAAUGAUGCAUAGCCGAGUUGAGAGACUGAUCGGCCACAUUGGGACUGAGACACGGCCCAAACUCCUACGGGAGGCAGCAGUAGGGAAUCUUCCACAAUGGACGCAAGUCUGAUGGAGCAACGCCGCGUGAGUGAAGAAGGGUUUCGGCUCGUAAAGCUCUGUUGGUAGUGAAGAAAGAUAGAGGUAGUAACUGGCCUUUAUUUGACGGUAAUUACUUAGAAAGUCACGGCUAACUACGUGCCAGCAGCCGCGGUAAUACGUAGGUGGCAAGCGUUGUCCGGAUUUAUUGGGCGUAAAGCGAGUGCAGGCGGUUCAAUAAGUCUGAUGUGAAAGCCUUCGGCUCAACCGGAGAAUUGCAUCAGAAACUGUUGAACUUGAGUGCAGAAGAGGAGAGUGGAACUCCAUGUGUAGCGGUGGAAUGCGUAGAUAUAUGGAAGAACACCAGUGGCGAAGGCGGCUCUCUGGUCUGC
rnacentral:rRNA from 1 species